ensembl:rRNA 5_8S_rRNA 5.8S ribosomal RNA
GACUCUUAGAGGUGGAUCACUCGGCUCCUGCAUUGCUGAAGAGUGCAGCUAGCUGCGAGAAUUAAUAUGAAUUGGAGGACAUUGAUCCUUAACACCGGAACACACUUGCAGCCCAGGGUUCCUCCAGGGGCUAUGCCUGCCUGAGCAUAG